CCAAGACACGGGUAAAAUGACUUGCAAUUUGGGGAAAAUGUCUUACCGGUUUCUUUUCAGUAAGACAUUUUCCAUCUCCUUCAUCCAGGCAAUACACACUGCUAUUUCAUCUUUCUCAGGGAAAGCUCUUUUUUAGGUUCAAAAUUGAGACAGUUGAGGAUGAAAAAUCUGACUUGCAAAACAGACUCAGAGAAGAGAUUGAAGGUAAUACCAAACUAAGCCAGUGUGGAAAAACAAAAGAAGACAUUGCAAAGGUGUCAACUAUGUCUUGAAAAAGAAG